rnacentral:lncRNA from 1 species
GAUCAGAGAAUCCAUGUUGACCAAAUGUACCAGCACAAAAGUGGAAUUGAAUCUUCUCUAAAAGAGAGCAAGCGAUUUUUUGACAAACUCCAUAAUGAAGUUAAUAGUUAACUGGAGAAAUUUUUAAAAGAAAUUAGUAAGACUUUGGAAAAGAUCAGCCACUGUGAAAAGUACAUCAACCAUCAGCUUGAGCACAGGGUUCAAGAAUAUCCUGCAGCUCAAACCCAGCUGAGUGAUGUAAGGAGCCAGCAAGGAAGUGGUGGAGUAAUUGAAAGGACCAGACUUCUGUCUGAGGCUACAGAAGACAGAACAUGUAAAACUAGAAAUGGAAGAAAAGUGCAGCAGCAUGACUGAUGGUGAUUCUUUGGUUAAGAGGUGGUGAUUCUUUGGUUAAGAUUAAACAGAGCUUAACAAAACUGAAGCAAGAAACUGUUCAGAUGGACAUUAGAAUUGGUGUUGUGGAACACACAUUACUCUAAUCAAAACUGGAGAAACCCAGUGUGACUAAGGACAUACACGUGACCAUUAUUCCAGAAUCAGCAAUAGAUUCAUAU